rnacentral:misc_RNA from 1 species
GAAAUGCGAUAAGUAAUGUGAAUUGCAGAAUUCCGUGAAUCAUCGAAUCUUUGAACGCACAUUGCGCCCCCUGGCAUUCCGGGGGGCAUGCCUGUCCGAGCGUCAUUUCUGCCCUCAAGCACGGCUUGUGUGUUGGGUGUGGUCCCCCCGGGGACCUGCCCGAAAGGCAGCGGCGACGUCCGUCUGGUCCUCGAGCGUAUGGGGCUCUGUCACUCGCUCGGGAAGGACCUGCGGGGGUUGGUCACCACCAUAUUUCACCACGGUUGACCUCGGAUCAGGUAGGGAUACCCGCUGAACUUAAGC